UACGAAGGGGGCUAGCGUUGCUCGGAAUCACUGGGCGUAAAGGGUGCGUAGGCGGGUCUUUAAGUCAGGGGUGAAAUCCUGGAGCUCAACUCCAGAACUGCCCUUGAUACUGAGGAUCUUGAGUUCGGGAGAGGUGAGUGGAACUGCGAGUGUAGAGGUGAAAUUCGUAGAUAUUCGCAAGAACACCAGUGGCGAAGGCGGCUCACUGGCCCGAUACUGACGCUGAGGCACGAAAGCGUGGGAGCAAACAGGG
rnacentral:rRNA from 1 species